UACGUAGGGUGCGAGCGUUGUCCGGAAUUACUGGGCGUAAAGAGCUCGUAGGUGGUUUGUCGCGUUGUUCGUGAAAACUCACAGCUCAACUGUGGGCGUGCGGGCGAUACGGGCAGACUGGAGUACUGCAGGGGAGACUGGAAUUCCUGGUGUAGCGGUGGAAUGCGCAGAUAUCAGGAGGAACACCGGUGGCGAAGGCGGGUCUCUGGGCAGUAACUGACGCUGAGGAGCGAAAGCGUGGGGAGCAACGGG
rnacentral:rRNA from 1 species